UGCAGUGAUUCUGUAAUUUGCGUCGGACGGGUGCGUAGGUGACAGUAGCCUGCUGUCAGACACCUACUCACCACUACUGAAGACAACUUUUACUGAGCA